GGUUAGCUCAGCUGGGAGAGCGUCGGCCUUACAAGCCGAGGGUCAUAGGUUCGAUCCCUGUACC
rnacentral:tRNA from 1 species